GGGGGCCCUUGCCCCUGCGCUGGAGUGCCGGAGCCCUGAGCCAUGAAGCGAGGCUCCCGCUGCCCAAACUGGGGCAGGGCAGGGCACGGGCAGGACAACCCCUUCAUCCGGAUCAGAUCCGGGAGAAAAGUAAACACCGGUGGGAUGGCGAACUUGAACUUCAGCAAGGAUAAGUGGCUUAGCCUAAAGCAAGACAUUGAGAAACUUCUCACCUCCCUAGCAGUCACAUAGAGAGUAAUAUACUGGAAGACCAUUUGCCAGAGAGCAGUGAAGUCCUGGCCUCCAUUUUUUAAAAAAUAUUUAUUUAUUUAUGUGAAAGGCAGAGUUACAGAGAGGUAGAGGCAGAAAGAGAGAGAGAGAGAGAGAGAGAGGAGAGGAGAGAAGAGAGAGGUCUUCCAUCAGCUGGUUCACUUCCCAGAUGGCUGCAAUGGCCAGAGCUGAGCCGAUCUGAAGCCAGGAGCAAGAUCCUCCAGGUCUCCCACGUGGAUGCAGGGGCUUAAGGACUUGGACCAUCUUCUACUGCUUUCCCAGACCAUAGCAGAGAGCUGGAUCGGAAGUGGAGCAGCCAGGACUCAAACUGGCGCCCAUAUGAGAUGCUGGAACUGCAUGUGGAGGCUUUACCCAUUAUGCCACAGUGCCAGCUCCCUGGUCUCCACUAUUGAUCCAGAUCCCGCUGUAGCUGAUAAAUCCCAGCUUGGUCAAUUUCAACAGAAAGAUAUUUCGUAAGAAGAAGUCAGUGCUGAUAAAAUAAUUAGAAAAAGCAGAAAGUAUAUUAGCCCUCCAGACCACUCUGCCUCUCCCCUUGCAUGGCGUGACUGUUACCUUCCAUCCCACGUAGCAUUUUGCAGCUCAGCUUGUGACUUUCGUAUCAAGGUGGAGCCUCUGUCCCUGCCUUGAACUGCGGUUGCUGGAACAGCAUCACUUGACCAAAAGAGCAAGGUGGAAAAGAUGCUGUGCCCACUUCUGAUGUGGCCCUUGACUGUGGCUUUCCCUGCCUCGUUGGAAGGUUUGCUCGUGGGAGGUGCCUUCUCUGAGUCUAGACACCAGGCUGUGCACAGCCCAUGCAACACAGAGCGGCUACACGGAGCUGUUUCCAUCAGCAGCCUCGGGAGCACUUCCCGCCAAUAGUCAGCAUCAACUGCAGCAUCAGCUGUCCCUGGGACACCCAGCCCAGUCCAGCUUCCGGGUGACUACAUCCCAGCCAGCAUCUGAACAUAACUUCAUGACAGAUGCCCAAGGGAGCAGGCACAGGCCACAAGAAACAGUAAGAGAUUGUCGUUUCAAGCCAUUAAGUUCAGAGACGGCCUAUCACAGAGCAACAGCUAACUGGAACUUUCCUGACCAGGGAUGUGCUAUGGCUGGUGCUGAAACCACUGAACAGGAAAACCGCCUGCUAACGUAAGGAACUCCCAGGACAACUGGUCCCCAAAUCGGGGACCCCUGCUCUGCGAUGAACCACACACAAAAUGGAUUCCUACGUUUUGCCUCUUUGCUCCCCC